GGAAGAAGUGUUUUACAACCAAAUUCAUAUUAGCCUUUGAAUGAAAAGCAGAAUCCAUGGAACAUCAAGACCGGCAGAGGAGGAUCCCUAAGGCAGUUUCAUUUGCCAAUGAAGACAUGAACCAUCUGAUCUUUUCAGACCAAAUUCCCUCUCUUCCAUCCUACAUUGCAGCUCCCUGUUGUACGUCCUGCGCGCGCCUCGUCCUGUGAUUCCAGCAGAUCACAAGGAGCGUCACUGGGGGCUCUGCUGAUUGACACCACUCAAGCUCACGGCUCGGUCACCAGCCUUACCCUAAGAGGUGAGCAGCGCAUGCUAACGCACGUGGCUUGGAAAACGGGGGAGGCU
rnacentral:lncRNA from 1 species